rnacentral:rRNA from 1 species
AAUGGGGGCAACCCUGAUCCAGCAAUGCCGCGUGAGUGAUGAAGGCCUUCGGGUUGUAAAGCUCUUUCGGUGGGGACGAUGAUGACGGUACCCACAGAAGAAGCCCCGGCUAACUUCGUGCCAGCAGCCGCGGUAAUACGAAGGGGGCUAGCGUUGUUCGGAAUUACUGGGCGUAAAGGGCGCGUAGGCGGCCCUGCAAGUCAGGCGUGAAAGCCCCGAGCUUAACUCGGGAAUAGCGCUUGAGACUGUUGGGCUUGAGUUCGGGAGAGGUGAGUGGAAUUCCCAGUGUAGAGGUGAAAUUCGUAGAUAUUGGGAAGAACACCGGUGGCGAAGGCGGCUCACUGGACCGAAACUGACGCUAAGGCGCGAAAGCGUGGGGAGCAAA